ACCUACGGGAGGCAGCAGUGGGGAAUUGUUCGCAAUGGGCGCAAGCCUGACGACGCAACGCCGCGUGGAGGAUGAAGGUCUUCGGAUUGUAAACUCCUGUUGCCAGGGACGAAUGGCCACGACCUAACACGUCGUGGUGUGACGGUACCUGGUGAGGAAGCCCCGGCUAACUCUGUGCCAGCAGCCGCGGUAAUACAGAGGGGGCAAGCGUUGUUCGGAAUUACUGGGCGUAAAGGGCGCGUAGGCGGCCUGUUAAGUCGAACGUGAAAUCCCCGGGCUCAACCCGGGAACUGCGUCCGAUACUGGCAGGCUUGAAUCCGGGAGAGGGAUGCGGAAUUCCAGGUGUAGCGGUGAAAUGCGUAGAUAUCUGGAGGAACACCGGUGGCGAAGGCGGCAUCCUGGACCGGUAUUGACGCUGAGGCGCGAAAGCCAGGGGAGCAAACGGGAUUAGAUACCCCCGUAC
rnacentral:rRNA from 1 species